UGCAGUCGAGCGGAACGAUGGGAGCUUGCUCCCAGGCGUCGAGCGGCGGACGGGUGAGUAACACUUAGGAAUCUACCUAGUAGUGGGGGAUAGCUCGGGGAAACUCGAAUUAAUACCGCAUACGACCUACGGGAGAAAGGGGGCAGUUUACUGCUCUCGCUAUUAGAUGAGCCUAAGUCGGAUUAGCUAGAUGGUGGGGUAAAGGCCUACCAUGGCGACGAUCUGUAGCUGGUCUGAGAGGAUGAUCAGCCACACCGGGACUGAGACACGGCCCGGACUCCUACGGGAGGCAGCAGUGGGGAAUAUUGGACAAUGGGGGGAACCCUGAUCCAGCCAUGCCGCGUGUGUGAAGAAGGCCUUUUGGUUGUAAAGCACUUUAAGCAGUGAAGAAGACCUAACGGUUAAUACCCGUUAGCGAUGACAUUAGCUGCAGAAUAAGCACCGGCUAACUCUGUGCCAGCAGCCGCGGUAAUACAGAGGGUGCAAGCGUUAAUCGGAAUUACUGGGCGUAAAGCGAGCGUAGGUGGCUUGAUAAGUCAGAUGUGAAAUCCCCGGGCUUAACCUGGGAACUGCAUCUGAUACUGUUAAGCUAGAGUAGGUGAGAGGGAAGUAGAAUUCCAGGUGUAGCGGUGAAAUGCGUAGAGAUCUGGAGGAAUACCGAUGGCGAAGGCAGCUUCCUGGCAUCAUACUGACACUGAGGCUCGAAAGCGUGGGUAGCAAACAGGAUUAGAUACCCUGGUAGUCCACGCCGUAAACGAUGUCUACUAGUCGUUGGGUCCCUUGAGGACUUAGUGACGCAGCUAACGCAAUAAGUAGACCGCCUGGGGAGUACGGCCGCAAGGUUAAAACUCAAAUGAAUUGACGGGGGCCCGCACAAGCGGUGGAGCAUGUGGUUUAAUUCGAUGCAACGCGAAAAACCUUACCUGGUCUUGACAUACACAGAAUCUUGUAGAGAUACGAGAGUGCCUUCGGGAAUUGUGAUACAGGUGCUGCAUGGCUGUC
rnacentral:rRNA from 1 species